AAAAAAAAGACGAAAGCAGAAAGAGAAAAUUACAUAUUUCUUGGGAAAAUAUAAUUAAAAUUUAUUUUCACAUCCUUACGAAUUUUCGUUGCUUCGCCCGACUCUAUGCCUACUUUUCAACAUAUGCUGAAUAACUGAUGAUUUGACGACUAAUUGGAUGUUUUAAUAAAACAUAUCUAUGGUUUUUCUCUUCAGUAUGAUGACUUUACUUCAACUACUUACUCGCAAUCUCUCGGCACUUUUUUGAAAAGCACAAUAACAAUCCUGUGUCUCGAAAUUCCAGAAGGAAAACUAUGUUUUCGAUAUUGCAUAUUUUAGUUGAAGCAAAUCUUGCCACAUCCAUAUUUGAUGAGACACUACAUGUUAAACCAAAUGUUUCUUUGAAUAUCAAAGAACAUUAAAUUUAACAUGUACAUGCAUGAAAGAACCAUUCUUACUCUUCAAUUCCAUUCGCACACUAUUGAAUUACUUACCCACUGUAGACUAACUUAUCACAGCUGAGUUUUCUACUCUUUCACCAACUACCUAGCUAAUUUUCAACUACACACGACCUUUUUACAAUUGUUGUCAUAGCAUGAAAUCCUUUUUAUUUAUUACAAAACAUAAACAGGGAUUUUUUAGUGAGCCAAACGAGAGCUUUGGAUGACAGAGGUAAGCUCUUCAAUCUUUCCCUUGGCACGCUUAAGGGUAC